CUGUUCAUAUUGCAAAACAAAGCAGUGGACCAGCGACAACGAGGAGCUGCUAAUGGACUUGCCAUGACAUCAAUGUCACUUUUCAAAGCUAUCGGUCCAGCUGGAGGAGGAUUACUCUUUUCUUGGGCUCAAAAGAGGCUUGACGCUUCCAUUCUUCCUGGUUCUCAAGUGGUAUUUUUUGUGCUGAAUGUGAUAGAGGCAAUUGGUGUGUUGUUGACAUUCAAACCAUUCCUAGUUGAAACACAAAAGACUUAAUUAGAGUUGAGUUUAUGGUCUCUUGAAUAUGUCUUUUUUUUUUCUGCUGGCAAUUAGCUAAAAUUGUCUCCUAUUCUUAUGUGUGUGGAUGAUGUGGAACAACAUUCAUCCACAAAUUCUUAUAUAGUUCAAUUAAAGGAGAUUUUGCAUGUUCAAAACUUUAGAACAUUAUAGCCAUUUUAUAUUUAUUGAUUAAUGGGAAAAGGCUCAAAUAUGUCACUGAACUA